rnacentral:rRNA from 1 species
UACGUAGGCAGCAAGCGUUGUUCGGAAUUACUGGGCGUAAAGGGUGUGUAGGCGGUGCUCUAAGUUUGGUGUGAAAUCUCCCGGCUCAACUGGGAGGGUGCGCCGAAAACUGGAAUGCUUGAACAUGGGAGAGGAAAGCGGAAUUCCUGGUGUAGCGGUGAAAUGCGUAGAUAUCAGGAGGAACACCUGCGGUGUAGACGGCUUUCUGGACCAUUGUUGACGCUGAGACACGAAAGCGUGGGUAGCAAACAGG